rnacentral:rRNA from 1 species
UACAGAGGGUGCAAGCGUUAUUCGGAAUUAUUGGGCGUAAAGAGCGCGUAGGCGGUUUGAUAAGUCUGAUGUGAAAUCCCUGGACUCAAUCCAGGAAGUGCAUUGGAUACUGUCAGGCUGGAGUACAGGAGAGGUGAGCGGAAUUCCCGGUGUAGAGGUGAAAUUCGUAGAUAUCGGGAGGAACAACAGUGGCGAAGGCGGCUCACUGGACUGUAACUGACGCUGAGGCGCGAAAGCGUGGGGAGCAAACAGG